UAUAGAACCACUAAUUCGGGCCCGGUCUGAAAGAACAUACAAGAAAGUAGUACAUAUUUCAAACAAAAUAGUUCCUACGCAUAGCUGUAACUUUUAAAAUUUGUAAAAUAUCUGGGUAAUUUUGGUAUCAAAUGAAAGCUGAAUGACUGUGGACCAUUGUAGAACCUUUGUGGAAUAAUUAUAUCAAAUAAUAAAAAAGUUUUAUGAAAUUGAAACAGGAGGGUAUUUAUUGCCUGAUUCUCAGAUCUGAAGUACCUGUUUUUGUACUUCCGAACUUCCGGGAACCAGUGCGGUCUUAUAUGCAAUUAAAGGUAUGAUGAUUUUUCCAGCAAGGGUUACCAGAAAGUAUUGUUUUGACAUGGAAUGAGUGUCACUUUAUUUGAACUUAAAACGAAAGAGCUGUGAAAGCUUGAAAUUAAGGAAUUUAACAUAGAAAGCAAUGGGACCAUUAAUUAGUGGUUUUAUUCCUAUUACAGGAAUCUGCACGUGCACCCUUGACAUUGAGAUUCAUGAGUACUUUUGGUGCUGUGAUUUUAACACCAAGCUCUUCAGUGAGCAGGAGAAGAGAAUUUGCAAAUCUAUGAUUUCUCAUGUGAACUGCAGCAUGUGCACGUCCUGGGAAAUUUCUGGAAAAAGUCACAUUCUUCGGAUUGCAACGACUUAGUGCACGAUUGAAUGCUUCACUUUUUUGUGUCGAGAAUUGAAAAGUGAUUCUACAUGUUUAGGAGUGUACAAUUUAUUGGGACAAGCAUCAGAAGAGUUAUUAGCAGCCUGAAGGUACUUGUCAACUACAUCAAGAUUCUGGGGCUUUGGCCGAAGGAUGACCUGUUCGACAGGAGUUCCAUCAACAUUUUCAAUUGUCAAUAUACCAUUUGAACUUUGUCUUACUCUGCGGUCAAAGACACUUUGAGAAUGCCGACAAAACUGAUUUUUCUUAGAUAUUUUGAUAAAUUCAAUUUUUUUACCUUUAUUCCAAGGGACAUAACCCUUUUUGAAACCAUGAAUUUUUGACAACUUACUUCUUUUGCGAGUCAUUAUUCCCCUUAAAACUGCUUGAACUGACUUCUUCUGCUUGUCAAAUUGUAGUCAAACUAUUACUCUCCAAUAAAAACCAUUAGAAUAUGUACAAUAUUUUAUUUUUUAACAAUUAUAGCCUUAAAUUAGACCCCUACCUCUGUUCUGAUACAUGGUUUAGAAUUUAUACCUGCUGAGGCAAAUACAUCCUGAGAGCUGAUUAUUAAUUGGAUUUAAAGUGACAUAUGGUAGUUUAAUCUCAAGAUAAAUUAUUCUUUCCAUUUAACAACUUUUUAUUUAAACAAAAAUAGUUGAUUGGCAAUAAAAUUGGCAUAAGAUCUGGAACUUUAACAUUUUUUAACAAAAAUUUCAAAUUAAAAUCAAUUUAAUUUAAAUUUAAAUGAUAUAUUUUUAGAAUUUUAUUGGCUAGUUUGAUGAGGUAAGGCAUACGGUGAGCUAAUAAUGAGAAAAAAUUACACUUUAAACCUUUUUAGACAUUCAAUUUUGAUGAUCAAUGUGUCUGGUGAACUACCCAAUUUUAAAGACUUUUGUAAUGAGAAUCAGCAGAAAUAGGGGACUUAGUUUUUUCAAUUUUUUUCAGUAACCCUCUAAUAUAAACAAGUGAAAUUUUAAAAACAUACUCAGAAAUGAUUGUGGAACAUGACUGAUGCAUUGAAAUCCUGUUAUUUGAGCAAAAGUGCUGUUAUAGGUAUAGAACCACUAAUUCGGGCCCGGUCUGAAAGAACAUACAAGAAAGUAGUACAUAUUUCAAACAAAAUAGUUCCUACGCAUAGCUGUAACUUUUAAAAUUUGUAAAAUAUCUGGGUAAUUUUGGUAUCAAAUGAAAGCUGAAUGACUGUGGACCAUUGUAGAACCUUUGUGGAAUAAUUAUAUCAAAUAAUAAAAAAGUUUUAUGAAAUUGAAACAGGAGGGUAUUUAUUGCCUGAUUCUCAGAUCUGAAGUACCUGUUUUUGUACUUCCGAACUUCCGGGAACCAGUGCGGUCUUAUAUGCAAUUAAAGGUAUGAUGAUUUUUCCAGCAAGGGUUACCAGAAAGUAUUGUUUUGACAUGGAAUGAGUGUCACUUUAUUUGAACUUAAAACGAAAGAGCUGUGAAAGCUUGAAAUUAAGGAAUUUAACAUAGAAAGCAAUGGGACCAUUAAUUAGUGGUUUUAUUCC